GCCCGGUUAGCUCAGCCGGUAGAGCGUUGGACUUUUAAUCCAACGGUCAAAGCUUCAAGUACCUUAUCGGGCU
rnacentral:tRNA from 1 species